rnacentral:rRNA from 1 species
UACGGGGGGAGCAAGCGUUGUUCGGAUUUACUGGGCGUAAAGGGCGCGUAGGCGGCGUAACAAGUCACUUGUGAAAUCUCCGGGCUUAACCCGGAGCGGCCAAGUGAUACUGUUGUGCUAGAGUGCGGAAGGGGCUACUGGAAUUCUCGGUGUAGCGGUGAAAUGCGUAGAUAUCUGGAGGAACACCGGUGGCGAAGGCGGCAUCCUGGACCAACACUGACGCUGAGUGAGCGAAAGCCAGGGGAGCAAACGGG